UGGGGAAUAUUGCACAAUGGGCGGAAGCCUGAUGCAGCGACGCCGCGUGAGGGAUGACGGCCUUCGGGUUGUAAACCUCUUUCAGUAGGGACGAAGCGUAAGUGACGGUACCUGCAGAAGAAGCACCGGCUAACUACGUGCCAGCAGCCGCGGUAAUACGUAGGGUGCGAGCGUUGUCCGGAAUUACUGGGCGUAAAGAGCUCGUAGGCGGUUUGUCACGUCGUCUGUGAAAGACCGGGGCUUAACUCCGGGGCUGCAGUGGGUACGGGCAGGCUGGAGUGCGGUAGGGGUAACCGGAAUUCCUGGUGUAGCGGUGGAAUGCGCAGAUAUCAGGAGGAACACCGAUGGCGAAGGCAGGUUACUGGGCCGUUACUGACGCUGAGGAGCGAAAGCAUGGGGAGCGAACAGG
rnacentral:rRNA from 1 species